rnacentral:rRNA from 1 species
AACGAACGCUGGCGGCAUGCCUAACACAUGCAAGUCGAACGGGAUCCGAGCUUCGGUUCGGUGAGAGUGGCGGACGGGUGAGUAACGCGUGGGAACCUGCCCAGUGGUGGGGGAUAACUGCGGGAAACUGCAGCUAAUACCGCAUGAGCCCGAGAGGGGAAAGAUUUAUCGCCAUUGGAGGGGCCCGCGUUCGAUUAGGUAGUUGGUGAGGUAACGGCUCACCAAGCCUUCGAUCGAUAGCUGGUCUGAGAGGAUGAUCAGCCACACUGGGACUGAGAUACGGCCCAGACUCCUACGGGAGGCAGCAGUGGGGAAUAUUGGACAAUGGGGGCAACCCUGAUCCAGCAAUGCCGCGUGAGUGAUGAAGGCCUUCGGUGUAAAGUCCUUUCGACGGGGACGGAUGAUGACGGUACCCGUAGAAGAAGACCCGGCGUAACUUCGUGCCAGCAGCCGCGGUAAU